rnacentral:rRNA from 1 species
UACGGAGGGUGCAAGCGUUAUCCGGAUUUAUUGGGUUUAAAGGGUCCGUAGGCGGACCAUUAAGUCAGUGGUGAAAGCCCAUAGCUCAACUAUGGAAUUGCCAUUGAUACUGGUGGUCUUGAGUACAGUUGAAGUUGGCGGAAUGUGUGGUGUAGCGGUGAAAUGCUUAGAUAUCACACAGAACACCGAUUGCGAAGGCAGCUAACUAAGUUGUAACUGACGCUGAGGGACGAAAGUGUGGGGAUCAAACAGG